UAUAGCUCAGUGGCAUAAGUGUCUGCCUGGCAAGCACAAGUCCUGAGUUCGAUUCUCAGUA
rnacentral:tRNA from 1 species